rnacentral:sRNA from 1 species
CACACCGGUCCGGAGUCAGUGGGUUAUCGAUCCCAUCAGGAAUUCUUCCUCGGGAAUAUCCCAUUGACACAACCUUGAUCGUUGU